rnacentral:rRNA from 1 species
GAUGAACGCUGACAGAAUGCUUAACACAUGCAAGUCUACUUGAACUACGGUUUGGGUGGCGGACGGGUGAGUAACGCGUAAAGAACUUGCAUCACAGAUAGGGACAACAUUUGGAAACGAAUGCUAAUACCUGAUAUUAUGAUUUUAGGGCAUCCUAGAAUUAUGAAAGCUAUAUGCACUGUGAGAGAGCUUUGCGUCCCAUUAGCUAGUAGGCGAGGUAACGUCUCACCAAGGCGAUGAUGGGUAGCCGGCCUGGAAGUGUGAUAGGCCACAAGGGGCUUGGGGAGCCACCAUUACUGAAUCUGGAGGCAUGGGCGGGAAAUUUUGGAAGAUAGACCAAGUGUGUGAUGCAGGAAUUCGGUGUGUAAAAUGCAGUUUUUCGGAAUGAAAAGUGCUUUCAGUUGGGAAGAAAAAAAUGACGGUACCAAAAGAAGAAGCGACGGCUAACUACGUG